rnacentral:snRNA from 1 species
GAUACUGGUGGUCGGCACUCCUGGUCUCCAGGACGGGGUUCGAAUCCCUGCGGUGUC